CUUAAUAAAGCUAUAGGCCUAUAACUAAAACUAUUGAGAUUGUCCUGGACCUGUAAAAACAGUUCUGUAUCAAGUGAAGUAUGUGGAUUAUCAUAUAGAUCUCCGAAAUUUGGAACCUCAACAUUUACAGGAGCGACCAUGACCAUGAGUAAUCAGUUAUUGAGGAAGUUGAUCUCAGUGAGUGAAGUGCAAAGUUCUGGCUUAUGUGUGAUUCCCCUACAUCAGAUUAUCAGCAACAUCAUCAGCUGAUCAUGAGAUAAUAUUAUGUAAUUUCAUUGUAAACUGAAUUGUAACAUUUGACAUCAUGGAUCUAUGUCCUCUAUGAAACUUUCGUGCAACUAUGGGCACAUCCAGGACAUUUACUAGUCCAGGUCACAGAGACGUUUCUCGCCUAUGACAGCAGCAUUCAUUGAAAAGGGAACACGGACUGUACCAAAGUACAGACCGAGAAAAAAUGAAGAAAAAGAAAAAUACCUGCCAUGUGCACACUGUUUGGCCGUUGUUGUAGCUACAGACUUAUGGAAGCACCAAAAGUCAUGUCCAGCAAACAAAUCUCAACAAAAUUUAAAAUAUCCUGUAUGUGAAGGACGUUUGCUGUUACCCUGUGACUGGAUUUUCAAAAAAACUACAUCAAAUUGUUUACAAACUUUCUUGCUAUCUCCUUUGUAUUUUAAUACAUAUCUAACAUGUAAUGAUAAUAAAUUAUCAUAGAAAGGUUAAUUUAUCUUCGUAAAUACACAGUUUAUACAAAGACCUUAUCUUGUCGAUUAAAGUUUUUAAAGUUGCUUUCAUAAUGAAUUUUUCGAUUAAAUGUUAACAUUAAAAAAUAAUCCCAUUAUUUGAAGUAAUAAAUAUUAAAU